UACAGGAGGGGGCAAGCGUUGUUCGGAAUUACUGGGCGUAAAGGGCGCGUAGGCGGCCUGUUAAGUCGAACGUGAAAUCCCCGGGCUCAACCUGGGAACUGCAUCCGAUACUGGAUGGCUUGAAUUCGGGAGAGGGAUGCAGAAUUCCAGGUGUAGCGGUGAAAUGCGUAGAUAUCUGGAGGAACACCGGUGGCGAAGGCGGCGUUCUGGACUGCAACUGACACUGAAAAAACGAAAGCCAGGGGAGCAAACGGG
rnacentral:rRNA from 1 species